UAAUAUUCAAUAAUCUUAAGUCUAUGAUUCUGAAAAUUGGAUUUAACAUGUUGUAGGUUUUAGUUUUUGAGAAUUUGGGAAUUAGGGUUAAAAGUAAUUAUUUGAUGAUUUUCUAAAAUAAUGUUUUGGGUCAAGUUUUAUAUGGUUUUGAGUCUCUUUUGAUGCAUAUAAAUGUUUAGACAAACUUUGGGAUCAAAUUUGGGC
rnacentral:lncRNA from 1 species